UGAGGAAUAUUGGUCAAUGGGCGCAAGCCUGAACCAGCCAUCCCGCGUGAAGGAAGAAGGCGCUAUGCGUUGUAAACUUCUUUUCCAGGGGAAUAAAAUUCUGUACGUGUACGGAAUUGAAGGUACCCUGGGAAUAAGCAUCGGCUAACUCCGUGCCAGCAGCCGCGGUAAUACGGAGGAUGCAAGCGUUAUCCGGAUUUAUUGGGUUUAAAGGGUGCGCAGGCGGAGUAGUAAGUCAGUGGUGAAAACCUGCAGCUUAACUGUAGAAUUGCCGUUGAUACUGCUGCUCUUGAGUGUGGUCAAGGUAGGCGGAAUGUGUAAUGUAGCGGUGAAAUGCUUAGAUAUUACACAGAACACCGAUUGCGAAGGCAGCUUACUGGGCCAUUACUGACGCUCAUGCACGAAAGCGUGGGGAU
rnacentral:rRNA from 1 species